rnacentral:rRNA from 1 species
UACAGAGGUCUCAAGCGUUGUUCGGAUUCAUUGGGCGUAAAGGGUGUGUAGGUGGCGCCGUAAGUCGGGUGUGAAAUUUCGGAGCUUAACUCCGAAACUGCAUUCGAUACUGCGGUGCUUGAGGACUGGAGAGGAGACUGGAAUUCAUGGUGUAGCAGUGAAAUGCGUAGAGAUCGGGAGGAACACCAGCGGCGAAGGCGGCGACCUGGACAGGUACUGACACUCAACUACGAAAGCGUGGGGAGCAAACAGG